rnacentral:lncRNA from 1 species
AGAUCCCCUACUUUUUAUCACCUAGGACUUCUUUUCUUCUGUUUUUGCUUCAUAAACUUAAAAAAUAUAUUGUGUAGUCUGCAUUAAUGAUAAUUUUUAACAAAAUGACCAUGAACUUCAGUUAAUUUUCAUAUUGUACAGUUCAAAAGAAAGUUCAGUUAAGUUAUAAGGAGAAUUGAGUAUUGAGCAUGUGGUGAACACAUAGUAAUCCCAGUGGCUUGUGAGGCUGAGGCAGGAGGAUCACAAGUUCAAAGCCAGCCUCAGCAAAAGUCAGGUACUGAGCAACAAGUGAGACCCUGUCUCUAAAUAAAAUACAAAAUAGUGCUGGGGAUGUGGUUCUAUAGUUGGUAUGCACCACCCCCUAACAAAAAGGAGAAAUGAACUAGGUUCCUAGAAAUAAAGUAUAUAUAUCAAUAAAAUCCUAUGUAGGUGACAAACAAAAAAUGAAAUUAAAAGUACUAUUUGCAAUGUUAGGUAAUAAAACAAGAUAUUAUUAAUAAUUGUACAGAAAAAUAAAUUGUAGAUAAUCAAAUAACAAUUCAUGAAUGAAAGGAAAGUGACCACAACACUCGGAGCAACCAAAAGAUCUUUAUUGCAGCAGUGCAACAAAGAGAAAGGAAAGAAGGAAAGAGAGAGAAAAGAGAUGAACAGGGAGAGAGCAAGAGCAAGAGAGAGACAGAGAGCGCGCGUAAGAAAGAUAAAGAGCAAGAGAGAGAGAGCAAGAGAGAAAGAGCAAGAGAGAGGGGGGCCUGGCAGGAGGGAGUUUUUAUAGCCCAAAUCUAAUGGGGCCUCUGAGUCUGCAAGCUGCCUUGUUGGCCCAAGGGGGGUUGAGUGCUCAGCCUUGAGCGGGACUUGACACAAACAGGGGAUAAAGGACUAGAUAGAGGGGGAUUUGAGUGUGUGGGCUAUCUUGCAGCCAACAUCUGUUCAGCCUGCCCUGCAGACAACACAGUUCAGCCUGCUCUGCACCCAACAAUGAAAACAAAUUUUUUGAGGGGUGAGUACUGGCUAUUGGACCCAGGGGCACUUAACCACUGAGGCACAUCUAUAGACCUUUUAUUGUAUUUUAUUUACAGACAGGGUUUCACUGAGUUGCUUAGCACCUCACUGUUGCUGAGGCUAGCUUUGAACUCGCCAUCCUCCUGCUUCAGCCUCCUGAACUGCUGGGAUUACAAGCAUGCACCACCAUGCCUGUCUGGAAAGACAUUUUUAAAGACCAUAUUGCUGUUUCCCAGUCCUGGCAUUUAAGCUUGCUUAGUUCUCAAGCCCCUCUAGAACAGAUGUGGAAGCUCAUCUUCAC